CCAAUCGAACCCGGAGAUAGCUGGUUCUCCUCGAAAUAGCUUUAGGGCUAGCCUCAUAUUAGUCUUGCGGAGGUAGAGCACUGAAUAUCCUAGGGGGCGUCAAAGCUUACCGAAGAUUAUCAAACUCCGAAUGCCGUAAAGAUGAUGUAUGGGAGUCAGACUGCACGAGAUAAGUUGGGUAGUCAAAAGGGAAAGAGCCCAGACCUACAGCUAAGGUCCCAAAGUACGUGUUAAGUGGAAAAGGAUGUGGGGAUUCUAAGACAACUAGGACGUUGGCUUAGAAGCAGCCAUUCAUUGAAAGAGUGCGUAAUAGCUCACUAGUCGAGAGUCCCUGCGCCGAAAAUGUCCGGGGCUGAAACACGACACCGAAGCUUAGGAAUGUGUAAACAUUGGUAGAGGAGCAUUGCUAGCGGGAUGAAGCCAUACCGUAAGGAGUGGUGGACUGCUAGGAAGAGAGAAUGCCGGAAUGAGUAGCGAGAUGAAGGUGAGAAUCCUUCAGGCCGAAUAUCUAAGGUUUCCAGAGUAAAGCUGAUCUGCUCUGGGUAAGUCGGGACCUAAGGCGAGGUCGAAAGACGUAGUCGAUGGAUAACAGGUUGAAAUUCCUGUACCGCAUAUAAACAGAACUGUGGGGACACAGACAGGGAAUGGAAUCCGGGAAUGGAAAUCCCGGUGCAAGCGAGGUAGGAGUGCUGUUGGCAAAUCCGCAGCACGAUCUGAAGACGUGACGCGUACCGAACAUAAGUAGGGAAGUCCAGGCCCCUGGCUGUCAAGAAAAGCCGCUAUUGUUUUAUAUGUGCCCGUACCGCAAACCGACACAGGUGGAUGAGGAGAGAAUCCUAAGGCCGACGGGAGAAGUAUUGUUAAGGAACUCGGCAAAAUGACUCCGUAACUUCGGGAGAAGGAGUGCCAUGAGAGUGGCCGCAGAGAAAUGGCCCAAGCAACUGUUUAGCAAAAACACAGGUCUAUGCAAAACCGCAAGGUGAAGUAUAUGGGCUGACGCCUGCCCGGUGCUGGAAGGUUAAGGGGAGAGGUUAGCGCAAGCGAAGCUUUGAACUUAAGCCCCAGUAAACGGCGGCCGUAACUAUAACGGUCCUAAGGUAGCGAAAUUCCUUGUCGGGUAAGUUCCGACCCGCACGAAAGG
rnacentral:rRNA from 1 species